rnacentral:rRNA from 1 species
CGGGGGGAGCAAGCGUUGUUCGGAUUUACUGGGCGUAAAGGGCGCGUAGGCGGCCUCUGCAAGUCGACUGUGAAAUCUCCGGGCUUAACCCGGAAAGGUCAGCCGAUACUGCAGGGCUAGAGUGCAGAAGGGGCAACUGGAAUUCUCGGUGUAGUGGUGAAAUGCGUAGAUAUCGAGAGGAACACCUGCGGCGAAGGCGGGUUGCUGGGCUGACACUGACGCUGAGGCGCGAAAGCUAGGGGAGCGAACGGGAUUAGAUACCCCGGUAGUCCUAGCCUUAAACGAUGAAUGCUUGGUGUCUGGGGUUUUAUAGUCCCCGGGUGCCGUCGCUAACGCUUUAAGCAUUCCGCCUGGGGAGUACGGUCGCAAGACUG